AGCAGGGAGGUGUUUUGCACAAAAAAUUUUGGUUUUUUAGGAGGUUUUAGACGGACCCCCUGCUG
rnacentral:tRNA from 1 species